rnacentral:rRNA from 1 species
GUGUCAGCAGCCGCGGUAAUACAUGGGGUGCAAACGUUGCUCGGAAUUAUUGGGCGUAAAGCGCGCGUAGGCGGUUAUUUAAGUCAGAUGUGAAAGCCCUUGGCUCAACUGAGGAAGUGCAUCUGAGACUGAAUAGCUAGAGUGCGAAAGAGGGUCGCGGAAUUCCCGGUGUAGAGGUGAAAUUCGUAGAUAUCGGGAGGAACACCGGUGGCGAAGGCGGCGACCUGGUUCGAUACUGACGUUGAGGCGCGAAAGCGUGGGGAGCAAACAGGAUUAGAAACCCGCGUAGUCC